GCCUUCGUGGCUCAGCCGGCAGAGCGUGUCCUUGGUAAGGACAAGGUCGCGGGUUCGAUUCCCGCCGAAGGCU
rnacentral:tRNA from 1 species